rnacentral:rRNA from 1 species
CCUACGGGCGGCUGCAGUGGGGAAUAUUGGACAAUGGGGGGAACCCUGAUCCAGCCAUGCCGCGUGUGUGAAGAAGGCCCUCGGGUUGUAAAGCACUUUCAGUGAGGAAGAACGCCUGGUGGUGAAUACCCAUCAGGAAAGACAUCACUCACAGAAGAAGCACCGGCUAACUCCGUGCCAGCAGCCGCGGGAAUACGGAGGGUGCGAGCGUUAAUCGGAAUUACUGGGCGUAAAGCGCGCGUAGGUGGCUUGAUAAGCCGGUUGUGAAAGCCCCGGGCUCAACCUGGGAACGGCAUCCGGAACUGUCAAGCUAGAGUGCAGGAGAGGAAGGUAGAAUUCCCGGUGUAGCGGUGAAAUGCGUAGAGAUCGGGAGGAAUACCAGUGGCGAAGGCGGCCUUCUGGACUGACACUGACACUGAGGUGCGAAAGCGUGGGUAGCAAACAGGAUUAGAUACCCGAGUAGUC